ensembl:lncRNA
GGGUGGGGGAACUGGCUGGUUUAGAUCAGGAGGCUCAUGGUAACAGUUGCUAUGGGGCCUGGUUAAUUCCAGAAAUUUUUGUCUUGUGACCUUGCUCUAAGGCUCCACACCUGUGACCUUGGUCUAAGCCUUCACACCUGUGACCUUGGUGUAAGUUUCCAUGCCUGUGACCUUGGUCUAAGGCUUCACACCUGUGACCUUGGGCUAAGGCUCCACACCUGUGACCUUGGGCUAAGCCUUCACACCUGUGACCUUGGUCUAAGGCUCCACACCUGUGAUCUUGGUACAGGGCUCCACAUGCUGGAUAUGAGGCGGGGGGGAGGGGGAGGGGUUCCAGGAGAAGUCAAGUCAGCCCUUCCCUGGACCAGUGAUCAAGAAAACACCAAGCAGGUGGCAGGCCCUGUGGCCCAGGAUCGACCUGGCUGCUGACCUUGCCAGUCACCCUCGCCAGCCUGGGGAGGCUCCCGCAGCCCCAGGGACUGGCAGGCCGCCCCAGCAUCCACUGUCUCAUCCCCAGGGCUGUGAAAGAAAGACACAGACUGAAGAACGUGAGGAGAGAGGCUGUGUCCUUCACUUCAUGGAUCUGCGGGGCAACGCUGUACUACUGCGCUGAACUUCAUCAUAUCUAUGAUGUUCUGAAUUUGCAGAAGCUGAGGGGACAGCGAGGCUCUGAAUCUGCAGAAGCUGACUGUCCCUGAAAGCUGAAAGUGAUGGAAACAAGGUUGGGGGCUUUCCAUGUGGGUGCUUGGCAUGGCACAUUCCCUGUAAAAACAGAAGAACCUGAACUUCUGUGCAUACAAC